rnacentral:rRNA from 1 species
UACGGGGGGGGCAAGCGUUGUUCGGAAUUAUUGGGCGUAAAGCGUGCGCAGGCGGCUUUGCAAGACAGAUGUGAAAUCCCCGGGCUUAACCUGGGAACUGCAUUUGUGACUGCAUGGCUAGAGUGCGGCAGAGGGGGAUGGAAUUCCGCGUGUAGCAGUGAAAUGCGUAGAUAUGCGGAGGAACACCGAUGGCGAAGGCAAUCCCCUGGGCCUGCACUGACGCUCAUGCACGAAAGCGUGGGGAGCAAACAGG